rnacentral:rRNA from 1 species
UACGAAGGGGGCUAGCGUUGCUCGGAAUCACUGGGCGUAAAGCGCACGUAGGCGGCUUUCUAAGUCAGGGGUGAAAUCCUGGAGCUCAACUCCAGAACUGCCUUUGGUACUGGAGAGCUUGAGUCCGGAAGAGGUGAGUGGAACUCCGAGUGUAGAGGUGAAAUUCGUAGAUAUUAGGAAGAACACCGGUGGCGAAGGCGGCCAUCUGGCUCGGUACUGACGCUCAGGUGCGAAAGCGUGGGGAGCAAACAGGG